rnacentral:rRNA from 1 species
UACGUAGGGUGCGAGCGUUAAUCGGAAUUACUGGGCGUAAAGCGUGCGCAGGCGGUUCGCCAAGUCAGGUGUGAAAUCCCCGGGCUUAACCUGGGAAUUGCGCUUGAAACUAGCGGGCUUGAGUGUGGCAGAGGGGGGUGGAAUUCCACGUGUAGCAGUGAAAUGCGUAGGGAUGUGGAGGAACACCGAUGGCGAAGGCAGCCCCCUGGGUCAACACUGACGCUCAUGCACGAAAGCGUGGGGAGCAAACAGG